rnacentral:misc_RNA from 1 species
AACGCACCUUGCGCUCCUCGGUGUUCCGAGGAGCAUGCCUGUUUGAGCGUCAGUAAAUUCUCAACCCCUCUCGAUUUGCUUCGAGUGGGGCUUGGAUAGUGGGGGCUGCCGGAGACCUGAAAUUCAUUUCGGGACUCGGGCUCCUCUGAAAUGCAUCGGCUUGCGGUCGACUUUCGACUUUGCGCGACAAAGCUUUCGGCGUGAUAAUGAUCGCCGUUCGCUGAAGCGCAUCAAUGAACCGUCCCGUGCCUCUAAUCAGUCGACGCCUUCCGGGCGUCUUCCUUAUAGACGUUUGACCUCAAAUCAGGUAGGACUACCCGCUGAACUUAA